rnacentral:tRNA from 2 species
GCGGCCGUGGUGAACUCGGCGGACACGCCGGUCAUCGACCGGAGCAGGGGGUUCGAUGCCCUCCGGCCGCGCC